AUUGAACGCUGGCGGCAGGCCUAACACAUGCAAGUCGAGCGAGCGGCGGACGGUUGAGUAAUGUAUGGGGACUGCCCGAUAGCGGGGGAUAACUACUGGAAACGGUAUCUAAUACCGCAUACUAUCGGAUAACCCAUAUGGGAUUAGCUAGUAGGUGAGGUAAAGGCUCACCAAGGCAACGAUCCGUAGCUGUGUUGAGAGGACGACCAGCCACACUGGGACUGAGACACGGCCCAGACUCCUACGGAGGCAGCAGUGGGGAAUUGUGGACAAUGGGGGAAAGCCUGAUCCAGCCAUGCCGCGUGUAUGAUGAAGGUUUUCGGGGUGUAAAGUACUGUUGUUAGAGAAGCGGUAUCUGCAGAGUAAGCACCGGCUAACUACGUGCCAGCCGCCGCGGUAAUUC
rnacentral:rRNA from 1 species